rnacentral:rRNA from 1 species
UGAAUCAACUUGAUGGUUUGUUCCCCCGGGAGCAAUCUUUCUUGUGCACUUCCUUGUUUGGCAGGUUAGCAUCAAUUUCGGUUGUCAUCAAAAAAUUGAGGGAAUGUGACUUCUUUCGGGAAGUGUUAUAGACCUUGAUAUAUGUGAUAACCGGGAUUGAGGAUUGCAGCGGAUGCUUUUGGGCUAGUCACCCACCSUCUSACGGUUACCUCGCUUUCGAUAGCUUGCUAACGAUUGUGGGAUUUAAUAGUCUAGAUGUUGGAGUGAUCUUAUAUUCGCUAAGGA